AGAGUUUGAUCAUGGCUCAGAACGAACGCUGGCGGCAUGCCUAACACAUGCAAGUCGAACGGGAUCCGGACUUCGGUCCGGUGAGAGUGGCGGACGGGUGAGUAACACGUGGGAACCUGCCUUUUGGUUCGGGAUAACCGCGGGAAACUGCGGCUAAUACCGGAUGCUCCCGAGAGGGAAAAGAUUUAUCGCCAGAAGAGGGGCCCGCGUCCGAUUAGGUAGUUGGUGGGGUAAUGGCCUACCAAGCCGACGAUCGGUAGCUGGUCUGAGAGGAUGAUCAGCCACACUGGGACUGAGAUACGGCCCAGACUCCUACGGGAGGCAGCAGUGGGAAUAUUGGACAAUGGGGGCAACCCUGAUCCAGCAAUGCCGCGUGAGUGAUGAAGGCCUUAGGGUUGUAAAGCUCUUUUGCCAGGGAAGAUGAUGACUGUACCUGGAGAAUAAGCCCCGGCUAACUUCGUG
rnacentral:rRNA from 1 species